rnacentral:rRNA from 1 species
AUUCCAGCUCCAAUAGCGUAUACUAAAGUUGUUGCAGUUAAAAAGCUCGUAGUUGAAUUUCUGGUCUCGGACAGCGGUCUGCCUCAAACGAGGUACGCACCACCUGUUCAGGUCCAUCCUCGGAGAAAACAUGCCUGUGAUUCAGUUCAUGGGUAUGGGAUCUUCGUCAUUUACUGUGAGCAAAAUAUAGUGUUCAAAGCAGGCUUAUGCCGUUGAAUACAUUAGCAUGGAAUAAUAAAAUAAGACCUUGGUCUAUUUUGUUGGUUUGUACUCCAAGGUAAUGAUAAAUAGGGAUAGUUGGGGGUAUUCGUAUUCAAUUGUCAGAGGUGAAAUUCUUGGAUUUAUGGAAGACGAACUACUGCGAAAGCAUUUACCAAGGAUGUUUUCAUCA